rnacentral:lncRNA from 1 species
GAAAAAUUGGGCUCGCAUAAAAGUCUAGUGUAAACUCAGAAAAGUCUAUUGAAAAGAACGCUAAGACUUACUAUUUUCACUCUAGGAAUUAACCUGUAAGCUAGCAUGUUAAGGGAGAAAAAAGCUUGUGUGGAUAAUCAUUAGAGUGAAUUUGAUGGGCACAUGCAUAGAAAUGGCUUGUUUUCCCUAAUUGAUGAUCACAUCAUAAUCAUUUUGCUUCAACUCAUUACAAAAAUAUGCAUGUUUUUUUCAUAAAUCAUUCAAAUGCAAAAAAUAGGCAUGAGCAUUGUAUGCAUCUUUACA